CAAUGAAUUGCAUCUCUUUUGCCCUUUAAGAUCCUAUUCUGUCAGGACAGGCUAAACCUUCAUUUUAAUAAGACCAUGUAUGUGUCCCCAGAAUUAGUUAUUUACCUUUCUAGAUCUGAUCUUGGAAAUGGUUACGAUA
rnacentral:snoRNA from 1 species